GUGCUCGCUUUGGCGGCACGUAUACUGAAAUUAGAACUACACAGAGAAGAUUAGUGUGGCCCCUGUGCAAGGAGGACAUGCAAAUUCAUGAAGUGUUCCAUAAUUUU
ensembl:snRNA U6 U6 spliceosomal RNA